CGAAAGCCUGACGGAGCAAGACCGCGUGAGGGAGGAAGGCUCUUGGGUUGUAAACCUCUUUUCUCAGGGAAGAAGCUCUGACGGUACCUGAGGAAUCAGCCUCGGCUAACUCCGUGCCAGCAGCCGCGGUAAUACGGAGGGGGCAAGCGUUAUCCGGAAUUAUUGGGCGUAAAGCGUCCGCAGGUGGCGAUUCAAGUCUGCUGUCAAAACCCAGGGCUCAACUCUGGUCAGGCAGUGGAAACUACAUAGCUAGAGCUCGGUAGGGGCAAAGGGAAUUCCCGGUGUAGCGGUGAAAUGCGUAGAGAUCGGGAAGAACAUCGGUGGCGAAAGCGCUUUGCUAGACCGAAACUGACACUCAGGGACGAAAGCUAGGGGAGCG
rnacentral:rRNA from 1 species